rnacentral:rRNA from 1 species
ACGGGUGAGUAACACGUAGGUAACCUGCCUAUGAGACUGGGAUAACUAUCGGAAACGAUAGCUAAGACCGGAUAACUGGUUUUCUCGCAUGAGAGAAUCAUGAAACACGGAGCAAUCUGUGGCUUAUAGAUGGGCCUGCGGCGCAUUAGCUAGUUGGUAGGGUAACGGCCUACCAAGGCGACGAUGCGUAGCCGACCUGAGAGGGUGAACGGCCACACUGGGACUGAGACACGGCCCAGACUCCUACGGGAGGCAGCAGUAGGGAAUCUUCCGCAAUGGACGCAAGUCUGACGGAGCAACGCCGCGUGAGUGAUGAAGGUUUUCGGAUCGUAAAGCUCUGUUGCCCUAGACGAACAGCAUGAAGAGUAACUGCCUUGUGUGUGACGGUAUAGGAGAAGAAAGCCCCGGCUAACUACGUGCCAGCAGCCGCGGUAAUACGUAGGGGGCAAGCGUUGUCCGGAAUUAUUGGGCGUAAAGCGCGCGCAGGCGGUCAAUUAAGUUGGGUGUUUAAGCCCGGGGCUCAACCCCGGUUCGCAUCCAAAACUGGUUGACUUGAGUGUAGGAGAGGAAAGUGGAAUUCCACGUGUAGC